UAAGAGCUUGCUCUUAUGAAGUUAGCGGCGGACGGGUGAGUAACACGUGGGUAACCUGCCCAUAAGACUGGGAUAACUCCGGGAAACCGGGGCUAAUACCGGAUAACAUUUUGAACCGCAUGGUUCGAAAUUGAAAGGCGGCUUCGGCUGUCACUUAUGGAUGGACCCGCGUCGCAUUAGCUAGUUGGUGAGGUAACGGCUCACCAAGGCAACGAUGCGUAGCCGACCUGAGAGGGUGAUCGGCCACACUGGGACUGAGACACGGCCCAGACUCCUACGGGAGGCAGCAGUAGGGAAUCUUCCGCAAUGGACGAAAGUCUGACGGAGCAACGCCGCGUGAGUGAUGAAGGCUUUCGGGUCGUAAAACUCUGUUGUUAGGGAAGAACAAGUGCUAGUUGAAUAAGCUGGCACCUUGACGGUACCUAACCAGAAAGCCACGGCUAACUACGUGCCAGCAGCCGCGGUAAUACGUAGGUGGCAAGCGUUAUCCGGAAUUAUUGGGCGUAAAGCGCGCGCAGGUGGUUUCUUAAGUCUGAUGUGAAAGCCCACGGCUCAACCGUGGAGGGUCAUUGGAAACUGGGAGACUUGAGUGCAGAAGAGGAAAGUGGAAUUCCAUGUGUAGCGGUGAAAUGCGUAGAGAUAUGGAGGAACACCAGUGGCGAAGG
rnacentral:rRNA from 1 species